GACGAACGCUGGCGGCGUGCCUAAUACAUGCAAGUAGAACGCACAGUUUAUACCGUAGCUUGCUACACCAUAGACUGUGAGUUGCGAACGGGUGAGUAACGCGUAGGUAACCUGCCUGGUAGCGGGGGAUAACUAUUGGAAACGAUAGCUAAUACCGCAUAAUAUUAAUUAUUGCAUGAUAAUUGAUUGAAAGGUGCAAAUGCAUCACUACCAGAUGGACCUGCGUUGUAUUAGCUAGUAGGUGAGGUAACGGCUCACCUAGGCGACGAUACAUAGCCGACCUGAGAGGGUGAUCGGCCACACUGGGACUGAGACACGGCCCAGACUCCUACGGGAGGCAGCAGUAGGGAAUCUUCGGCAAUGGACGAAAGUCUGACCGAGCAACGCCGCGUGAGUGAAGAAGGUUUUCGGAUCGUAAAGCUCUGUUGUAAGAGAAGAACGGGUGUGAGAGUGGAAAGUUCACACUGUGACGGUAUCUUACCAGAAAGGGACGGCUAACUACGUGCCAGCAGCCGCGGUAAUACGUAGGUCCCGAGCGUUGUCCGGAUUUAUUGGGCGUAAAGCGAGCGCAGGCGGUUAGAUAAGUCUGAAGUUAAAGGCUGUGGCUUAACCAUAGUACGCUUUGGAAACUGUUUAACUUGAGUGCAGAAGGGGAGAGUGGAAUUCCAUGUGUAGCGGUGAAAUGCGUAGAUAUAUGGAGGAACACCGGUGGCGAAAGCGGCUCUCUGGGUCUGUAACUGACGCUGAGGCUCGAAAGCGUGGGGAGCGAACAGG
rnacentral:rRNA from 1 species